ACAGCCGCCCUCGGAAAGUGCAAAAGCAGCCACGAGACAGAUCCAGGCUUUGUUGCUAAUUUCCCAGGGUGAAAAUUGACAAGCCUGGGAGUGCAGUCAGCACAACCCAUUGCAUAUGCUCCUGACAAACGCUGGGGACAUCCCCUCCCACCCAUGCCUAUCACACAGAGAAUGUGACCUCUGCAGGACUGGACUCUGGAAGGACCCUACCUCCAGGACUCGCCCACAAGAAGAACUGCAAAAGAGCUCCGGAGGAGAAGGAAAAAAAAAUCAUCAGAAAAACCCCCGUGCAGAUGAAGAGGCUUGAUGCUUAAUGCGCACAGAUGUGAUCGCCAGUGGUCGCCGACAAUGAAAUAUACAAGUGCACACAAAGUGAUCCGGUGAACAAGAGGUGGAAUUUAAUCAUCUUCUGCUGACACUUUGUGAAAAACACCAUUAACCCUCAGCAAACCCCCUGUUUUCCUGGCUCCCUGUAACCCCUAAAGUCUCAGCCCCUCCUGCCAAGGAUAAAAAAGUGAAAGAAGAAUUUGUGGUUUUGUUUACUCAGCCAAGCUAAAGGUUGGAUCCAGCCAGAUGAAAACUUUAAGGAACAAUGAAGGAGAGAGGUGCCGCUCUGAACCGGGACUAAGGUGCAGAACUGGAGUGAGCUGUUCUCCAACUCCUGAAUUUGAACCCUGAACUGAAUAAAAGCUUUAAGACCACAAGACAAACACAAAGUUUAUAGAUAACUCAUUUUUCAAGUGUAGUGUCUCUGCUACAGUCCUUGCUACUCUCUCCUUGGGAAGGUGCCUUCCAAGGUUCACUGUGGCUCCUCUGUACAUGUCCCUAUUCAGGAGGGCCUUGGACUCUUCUUCAAUUUUCUGGUAUGGAAGACAUAUGUGGUAUCAAUCAUUCCAGGACCUAGAUCACUUCUUUCCUUUUAAAAUGUGACCAAGCAUCCUAAGAAAGUGUGAUGGUGUUUGGUUUUUGGAGGGAUUUAAAAUUGGGCACUUUGAAGCUAGCAGGCAGCAUUGGCUCUACACACUGUUUUAAGUAGCUUUUCCAUGCUCGGGAGCUACUCCCCCACUAACUCCCAAAACUGCUUCUGCAUUCUCCCUCUCCUGCACUCUGCGUGCUUCACCAAUGUGCACUUAGCUGUUCUUGGGCAUAGAUGGCGCAUGUUAGGGGGAUUGUUUGAAGGGGUAAUAGCCAUAAGAUCCUGUCCUCAUCUGAUAUAUUUUAUAAUUUAUUUUUAUCAAAAAUGAAUUUCAAAUAUUCUGUUGCCAUCUCAGACAUACCAGGAUACAGCCUAAAAAUAGGUAUAGUCGCCAGAGCUAUGGUGACGGAUCAAACAAAUUUAUCUGCCAUCAAACUCAUGUUCUUGACUUGCGAAUCUCUCUGUGAAACACAGGGCGUUUCUGAGGAAAGCAAAGCCCAGCAAUUGAAUGAAACCUUAAAUUUAUCCCCCUAAGGACAGAAUCAUUUUACCAUCAGGCUUUAAUUUUCUUUUGUAUUUUAUACCUUUGACAUUUUGUGGACAAAUGUAAGGAGCAGCAAGGUUGUUGACAGGCCUGGGGAUGACGAAGGAACGACUAAGUGUUUUCUUCAUUCAAACAAGGCAGAAAGUGAAACCACAUAGUCUAAUGGUCAGUGUCUCAAUAAGAUGAGAAUAAACAGAAUGAGGCUCUGUGUCUUAUUUAUAUUUUAUCAGAGGUUAUUGCUGUAGAACCGUGAAGCACAAUAAAUAGCAUUCUGUUAGCAGCCAUUUGAAAGAAAAUGUUCAUCACUUUCAAAUAAAAUUACUUCCCUC
ensembl:antisense A830011K09Rik RIKEN cDNA A830011K09 gene